rnacentral:misc_RNA from 1 species
AACGGUCUAUACCUGCGGUACCUGCGGAGGGAUCAUUACCGAGUUAUCCAACUCCCAACCCCUGUGAAUCAUACCUUUAAUUGUUGCUUCGGCGGGACUUCGCGCCCGCCGGGGACCCAAACCUUCUGAAUUUUUUAAUAAGUAUCUUCUGAGUGGUUAAAAAAAAUGAAUCAAAACUUUCAGCAAUGGAUCUCU